AGGAAGGCUCGUCCGCUCUGGGUUAGUCGGGUCCUAAGCUGAGGCCGACAGGCGUAGGCGAUGGAUAACAGGUUGAUAUUCCUGUACCACCUAUAAUCGUUUUAAUCGAUGGGGGGACGCAGUAGGAUAGGCGAAGCGUGCGAUUGGAUUGCACGUCUAAGCAGUAAGGCUGAGUAUUAGGCAAAUCCGGUACUCGUUAAGGCUGAGCUGUGAUGGGGAGAAGACAUUGUGUCUUCGAGUCGUUGAUUUCACACUGCCGAGAAAAGCCUCUAGAUAGAAAAUAGGUGCCCGUACCGCAAACCGACACAGGUAGUCAAGAUGAGAAUUCUAAGGUGAGCGAGCGAACUCUCGUUAAGGAACUCGGCAAAAUGACCCCGUAACUUCGGGAGAAGGGGUGCUCUUUAGGGUUAACGCCCAGAAGAGCCGCAGUGAAUAGGCCCAAGCGACUGUUUAUCAAAAACACAGGUCUCUGCUAAACCGUAAGGUGAUGUAUAGGGGCUGACGCCUGCCCGGUGCUGGAAGGUUAAGAGGAGUGGUUAGCUUCUGCGAAGCUACGAAUCGAAGCCCCAGUAAACGGCGGCCGUAACUAUAACGGUCCUAAGGUAGCGAAAUUCCUUGUCGGGUAAGUUCCGACCCGCACGAAAGGCGUAACGAUUUGGGCACUGUCUCAACGAGAGACUCGGUGAAAUCAUAGUACCUGUGAAGAUGCAGGUUACCCGCGACAGGACGGAAAGACCCCGUGGAGCUUUACUGUAGCCUGAUAUUGAAAUUCGGCACAGCUUGUACAGGAUAGGUAGGAGCCUUUGAAACGUGAGCGCUAGCUUACGUGGAGGCGCUGGUGGGAUACUACCCUAGCUGUGUUGGCUUUCUAACCCGCACCACUUAUCGUGGUGGGAGACAGUGUCAGGCGGGCAGUUUGACUGGGGCGGUCGCCUCCUAAAAGGUAACGGAGGCGCUCAAAGGUUCCCUCAGAAUGGUUGGAAAUCAUUCAUAGAGUGUAAAGGCAUAAGGGAGCUUGACUGCGAGACCUACAAGUCGAGCAGGGUCGAAAGACGGACUUAGUGAUCCGGUGGUUCCGCAUGGAAGGGCCAUCGCUCAACGGAUAAAAGCUACCCCGGGGAUAACAGGCUUAUCUCCCCCAAGAGUUCACAUCGACGGGGAGGUUUGGCACCUCGAUGUCGGCUCAUCGCAUCCUGGGGCUGUAGUCGGUCCCAAGGGUUGGGCUGUUCGCCCAUUAAAGCGGUACGCGAGCUGGGUUCAGAACGUCGUGAGACAGUUCGGUCCCUAUCCGUCGUGGGCGUAGGAAAUUUGAGAGGAGCUGUCCUUAGUACGAGAGGACCGGGAUGGACAUACCUCUGGUGUACCAGUUGUCGUGCCAACGGCAUAGCUGGGUAGCUAUGUGUGGACGGGAUAAGUGCUGAAAGCAUCUAAGCAUGAAGCCCCCCUCAAGAUGAGAUUUCCCAACUUCGGUUAUAAGAUCCCUCAAAGAUGAUGAGGUUAAUAGGUUCGAGGUGGAAGCAUGGUGACAUGUGGAGCUGACGAAUACUAAUCGAUCGAAGACUUAAUCAA
rnacentral:rRNA from 2 species